ACUCAACCUCCUGCCUGUGACUGUUAAAGGUAAAUGUAAAAGGACACCAACUUGAAAUAUUCCCGUGGCAAAGAACAACCACCACAAGCCGGAAGUCUAUAAAGGACACUCAUUCUAUGCUUGCCACAUACUCAAGUACUAACUACGGUCAAGAUGUUGAGCAAGUUGUUCCCGCGCAUCAAAGUCCUGCCAUUGACGGAGAGGACUCGGUCGCGCGAUGCCUUUGUCUACUUGGAUCGAUGUCAAAAGAUUUUCGGCUGGACAGCGCCCGAUAAUAAGAAAUGGAGAAUCCCCUAUAUUAUUUGGGGAAUUUCCCUGAAUAUGCUGCUGAUCUUCCUCCUGCCGAUCUCUAUGUUGGUAUCGUAUAUUCAGAUGUUCAAGAGCUUCACGGCGGGAGAGUUUCUCAGCUCCCUGGAGAUCACGGUGAAUAUGUACGGCUGUGUCUUGAAGUGCCUCUACACUAUUUGGGGCUACAGGGGAUUUAAGGCAGCCAGACGGGUGCUGGAUGACCUGGACCUGCGCUGCACCAGCGACGAGGAACGCUCCAGUGUGCACCGCUGUGUGGCUCUGGGCAACAUGUGCUAUGUGUUCUAUCACAUGGUUUACUCGGGAUUUGUUGUCGUCAGUUGGACCGGCUACAUCCUGAUGGGCAGGCACGCCUGGUUGAUGUACCUCCCUGGGCUGGACCCUGAAAAGAACUUUUUCGUAUCCAGCUUGUGCGAGAUGUUGCUGAUGGGUUCCUGUGUCACCAUGGACCAGUGCACGGAUGUCUCUCCGCUGGCCCACAUGCUGAUGGCUCGCUGUCACAUCGUUCUGCUCAAGGAUCGGUUGAGCAAACUACGUUCCGAUCCCAGCAAAAAUGAGCAGCAACACCAUGAGGAGCUAAGCAAAUGCAUCCAGGACCAUCGCUUGAUACUAGACUAUGUUAAUAAACUGCGGCCCGUCUUCUCGGGCACCAUAUUCGUGCAGUUCCUCUUGAUUGGUAUUGUUCUGGGCCUGUCACUGAUCAACAUCAUGUUCUUUUCCACCCUGUGGACGGGAAUCGGCACCGCGUGCUUCAUGUUCUGUGUGUUGUUGGAAACAUUUCCCUUCUGCUACGUGUGCAACACGAUCAUCGAGGACUGCCGUGAGCUAUCGGAGUGUUUGUUCCAAUCGAAUUGGCUGGCAGCCAAUCGCAAGUACAAGUCCACGCUGAUCUACUUUCUGCACAAUCUACAGCAGCCGAUUGUACUGACAGCGGGUGGAGUUUUUCCUAUCUCCAUGCAAACGAAUCUAUCGAUGGUGAAGCUGGCCUUUUCGGUUGUCACCAUCAUAAGACAAUUCAAUCUGGCCGAUAAGUUUCAGUGAGAGAUGGAACACCACCCAAGGCUCUGGGAUUUUAUUUAAUUUUUAUACAAUACAUAAAGCCAUGGACACCAUUAAUAUUAGUCUGAAGAACUCUGCAAGCCACAAAAUAUAGCUGAAAUUACGUUAUUGAAAGCUAUCAAAUUAAGAGAUAAUAGAGAUAAUUCAUAUUGAAAGAAUAAUUGCUCCUUUUUGAUAUUAAACGAGUUCAGAUUUCUUAUUGCUGAUUAAAAUAAAUGUGUCUGCUGGCUGGUAGAUAAGCAACAAUCAAAGCUUAAGCCACAGACUAGCACAGAGAUACAUUCGGAAUCCUCAUGGUACAGCCCCAUCCUCACUCGCACUCCCCCCCUUUCACUCACAGACUCUCAGCCCACAAACAAAGCCAUAAGUGAUGCCAAAACUUUGCCAUGUCUCAGCAUGAUAGAAAGUUUUUGGCCAGAAACUCUCUUUUGGCCCAUUGACAAAA